AGAGUUUGAUCCUGGCUCAGGACGAACGCUGGCGGCGUGCCUAACACAUGCAAGUCGAACGGGGUAAAGACUUCGGUUUUUACUUAGUGGCGAACGGGUGAGUAACGCGUGAGGAACCCUGCCUUUCAGUGGGGGACAACAGUUGGAAACGACUGCUAAUACCGCAUAAAGCCAUCGGAAUGGCAUCAUCCUGGUGACCAAAGAUUUAUUGCUGAAAGAUGGCCUCGCGUCUGAUUAGCUAGUUGGUGGGGUAACGGCCCACCAAGGCGACGAUCAGUAGCCGGUCUGAGAGGAUGAACGGCCACAUUGGGACUGAGAUACGGCCCAGACUCCUACGGGAGGCAGCAGUGGGGAAUAUUGGGCAAUGGGGGAAACCCUGACCCAGCAACGCCGCGUGAAGGAAGAAGGCCUUCGGGUUGUAAACUUCUUUUAGCAGGGACGAAGGACGUGACGGUACCUGCAGAAAAAGCAACGGUUAACUACGUGCCAGCAGCCGCGGU
rnacentral:rRNA from 1 species